GCCUUACAAGGAUUAAAACCCCUACACCAACAUCAUCUGAUUCACACUUUUCAUAUUUACAAGGUAUUGGAGUCAUACUACUCGGUCAUCUGAUAAUCUAUUUCAACCCACUAUCUUACAUCAAACAUAUGAUCAGAACAAGUUUCACAGAUUAAAUAUUUUCGGGUAUUCACACAAAUCAAGCAAGUUUUUGCAGGUUUUGAUUUGUGAUUUGUGGUUGAUCUGUUCGUAGACUAUGGUAAUGAUUUAGGGCUUUGCAUUUUGAUUCCGUGGUGAACAAAGAUGACGCUGUCGUAGAUCUGACUGCAUGAUUGAGAGAAAGUGGUGGACGCUCACGGUGAUUGAUAGAGGCGCAAGGUAGUGGCUGGAAGGUGAAGAAGAUGGAGAUCUAUCUCUGGUGGUGUGGUUACUGAUGGCGUGAAGGAGAUGGUAGCCAACAAAAAUGAUGGUGGAAAAGAAUUUUGGUAAAUGUAAAGAAACUGAGAGUCCAAAGCAGGAUCCAAGAAGCCGAGGGCUAUGCUUGGUGGCUGUUUCAAGCACAUUCCCAGUAAAUCAUGAAACCACAGUGGAUUUAUGGACACCAACAUUCGGAGCUUCAAGAUAGCAGUAAUAAUAAGGGUAAAAUGUGUUUUAAGUCUGAAAUUUUUUGAAGAAAACUUGUUUUAGUCCAUAUUUUUUAAAGAAUGAUUCUAGUUGUCCUUUUAUAAUUGAUGAAUUUCAUCUUGUUUGUGAAAAAAAGUGAGGGAUGAAAUUCAGUAAUUAUAAAAGUUAGAAGGACAAGGAAAUUAAAGAAGUUAAAUAAUUAUAAUAAUAUAGAUACUGAAUUAGAGGUAACCUUUUUCGAGCCGCUGAAUUGGAAGGAUUAUGUAUUGGAAUUCGUAAAUAAAAAUAAGUAAUAUGGAAGGAUUAUGCAUUGGAAUUCGUAAAUAAAAAUAAGUAAUAUGGUGUAUGACAGGGAUAAGAGGAGAUAGUUAGUUUAUGAGAGAGGGAAGAAAGAUAAGGAUAACUAACUGUAACAACUUAACUGUUCUGGGCGAGAGAGGUUGUAUAAAUAGGGGCAAGUUAAAUAGAAGAGAGAGGAUUGUUUUGUUAAUUGACAGGUUCAUAUGAAGAAGAGGGUUAAGCCUCUGUAUUCUUUUAUGUAAAAAUACCAUAUUGUGAAUAAUAUACCGAUUUCAUCUCUGUGUGCCAAUUGGAGAGGAAGAGAGCUCUCGAAUUAGGUUCCCAAUCUAGGAACCUAUCAGUGUAUCAUUUAAGAAUCUCACAUCGAUCGGU